UGUGAUGUUCGGUGAUGUUGCAGAAAACAUAUUCUCAUGUACUGCAGUUCAAUUAAGAUCAUAUUCGGACGAGAAACAUAAGUUGUUUGUCCAAAAAACUACAAGGCAACUAUCAGCCAAAAAAUGGAGAAUUCAGUUGUACGUAGAUGCAAACCGAACAAUGAGUUCAAAGUACAAUCAGUUCACCAUUCAAGCAGUUGAACCAAUGGAAGAUUAGGCAGAAGUUGUCAUUUUUCUUUUACAGUAAUUUUAUUUUAUUUAGUGUUAAGACUUUUCUUGGUGCCGAGCUUCUUUCACUUUCUAUUGACUUGUUAUCUACGGAUUUACAUGGAGUAUUGUAUGCAAGUCUUUCAUAAAUCCAAUAUUCUAGAAGUAAAUAAUAAGUAUCGUUUUAUUUUGAUU